UUCUAAUUCUGUCAGAAUAAAAGCUAAAGUCUUUACAAUGGUCUAGAAGACUCCAUCAUUCGGUCUCCACUACUACACAUUCCUGGAAGAGUCGGAAAUAUACCAGAGAACUGUCAUGGAUGCACCCAGUAGCCAUGGCCUCAAUCUCUUCAUCUACAAACUGACAGCCACAUUACCAAUGAGAGAAGACCUUUUUGAAGAGAGAGCAUUUGAUGGACCUCUAUGAAGCAUAGGGAGGGGAUGUGUAUGGAAACUAUACUAGGGCAAAAGGAGUCAUCCCUGAAACCUGGAGAGGAGUCAGAAAAAGGGUGCUCAUCCCCAUCUAUGGCCUUUAAUGGAGGAAUACAACCACUACCAAACUAUGCCAUAUCAGAGAGAGAGUCAAGAGCCCUGUAUUCUCACUGUCAGAUCUUCUUCAAGUGUCUUCCUUAGCCAAACCCAGCAAGGAACUAGAGAUUUAGGAAACCUACUAAUGUAGUUGAUACCAGUCAAUCUCCUGGGACACAAGAGGGCAAAGGAAAACCAUC